rnacentral:lncRNA from 1 species
AUGGUCAUACGUUAUUGCUGGCCAAAAGCCGCAACCCUACCUGAGGCUUUGAGAAAUGUGAACACCAAUGACUUUUGUUUUCCUGACUCCCGAAAUACCAAGAAAAAGCAACUUCCCCAAAUGGACAGAAACAGAAAGUACCCUUGGUUGAACGCAGAGGCCUGGUUCCAGCCAUCGUUAGAAGUGGGAAGGAACUCAGACCCCCUCUCCUACCUCAUCCCCCACCCCUCCCCAACACGUCACCCUUUCACAGAGAAGGAACCAGAGACACCAAGGACUGAGAGAGGACUUGAUAAGGAUUCUAGUGUCCUGUCUCCCCUGUCCGCACCUUUUCCACCACAAAAAUAUGGACAUUGGAGGAAGAGGAGAAGACUGAAGGUACACACCGUGCAAAGGAAGAAAAUGGCAGAACUGUUCUGGAACCAGGAAUUCAGGAGCAAGAAUGACACAGUGUGUGCCAGAUGGAAAUGUUGGAUUAGGAGAGCACUUGGAAAGGUGGGAGCAUGCAGCAGUGAAACCUGAGUUCUUUCUGUUCAUGUGAGCUAAUCUUCCCGCUGGCUGGAAGACACUUCAUUUAUACAAACAGCGAUUACUGUAAAAGUGUAUUCAUGUUGUUCAUCACAUGAAUAGGACAUGGGGAGAAAAGCUUUGUAAUUAUCCUGAUAAGAGGCCACCUAAUGCAAAUUCUCUGUGGUUAGGAAUAAAAGGAGACUUUGUCAACAUGAUAAAUGACAUCUAUCUCAAUCCAGCAGACUAUGUGAUAGCUAAUGAUGACUUGAAACAAAGGGACAAACUACGGUCCUUAAUAACAGAAGAAUUCCUAUAAAACAAGGGUGCUCGCAACUUGAAUAGUUUCAACAAUAUUGUGAAAUUCAAAGCAAGAAGAAAGAGAGUCAGAAAUUUGGGAAGCAAAAGUCAAGUUUGUCAUUAUUUGUAAGUGAUAUGAUUGUCUACCUGAGAAACCCUAGAUAAUGGACUGAGACAUAUCUGGAACUAACAAGAGAGUUCAAUAAAGUAGCUG